UUGUUCAAAUAAUGUAGCUCCUUGUUGAUGUUGGGUGUGGCCAUCAUUGUCAUCUGCAUCAACUGGCCCUGAACAAGUACAAUAGAAGCAGGGGCGGAACCACGUUCAGGCUCGGGUAGGCUCGAGCCCGGGCUGCCGUCGGAAUUUCAAAGGUCUGAGGUGUGAGCGAUGACAGUCGGCAUGGAGUUACAGCAGUUCAGCCAUGGAUGCUGGGUGAACAGAGCCUGCCUUAGAAGAAGAUGGAGAAGGAAGACGAAAAGAAUUUUGUUUUUUUAGUUAAAAAGGGCAAAUUUAGCCCUUUUCUUUCUACUUAAAGUGUAUUUGGUCCCUAGCCAUUAGUACUAUCAGGAGCAGAUCAAACGGUUACAAAUAAAAGUUUCAAAAUAAAGCUGCAUAUUGUCGGACCUCA